GUGCCAGCCGCCGCGGUAAGACAGAGGUGCCAAGCGUUAGGCGGAAUCACUGGGCUUAAAGCGUGUGUAGGUGGAUGCCUAAGUACCUUGUGAAAUCCCACGGCUCAACCGUGGAACUGCUUGGUAUACUGGGUGUCUUGAGCCAACUAGGGGCAGCCGGAACAAACGGUGGAGCGGUGAAAUGCGUAGAUAUCGUUUGGAACGCCAACGGUGAAAACAGGCUGCUGGGGUUGUGCUGACACUGAGACACGAAAGCCAGGGGAGCAAACGGGAUUAGAAACCCGUGUAGUCC
rnacentral:rRNA from 1 species